UGGGCAGUAUCUUUUAAGAACUGCACCUUUUGUAAAAUGAAAAUCAAAAUUAAAAAGGUUUCUGCCUAGAUCCGAUUAUCGGACCGGGACAGAGGG
rfam:Bacillus bataviensis LMG 21833 contig55, whole genome shotgun sequence.